UGGGGAAUAUUGGACAAUGGGCGCAAGCCUGAUCCAGCCAUGCCGCGUGAGUGAUGAAGGCCCUAGGGUUGUAAAGCUCUUUCACCGGUGAAGAUAAUGACGGUAACCGGAGAAGAAGCCCCGGCUAACUUCGUGCCAGCAGCCGCGGUAAUACGAAGGGGGCUAGCGUUGUUCGGAUUUACUGGGCGUAAAGCGCACGUAGGCGGACUUUUAAGUCAGGGGUGAAAUCCCGGGGCUCAACCCCGGAACUGCCUUUGAUACUGGAAGUCUUGAGUAUGGUAGAGGUGGGUGGAAUUCCGAGUGUAGAGGUGAGAUUCGUAGAUAUUCGGAGGAACACCAGUGGCGAAGGCGGCUCACUGGGCCAUUACUGACGCUGAGGUGCGAAAGCGUGGGGAGCAAACAGG
rnacentral:rRNA from 1 species